UACAUCAUUUAACAUUUUAUAUCAUAUAAACUGCACAAAGUUAUAUAUAUAUACUUAAUUAACACAACCGUAAAAAUAUCAAUAUAUUGGUACAAGGUAAGAAAACAACUUCUUAAGUAUCACAAUGCAAGCAUCAAAAGCAUUUAAGCAUUUUAAAAUUUGUCAGUUUAAAAAAAUAGUAUUAUAAAAAAUAUUGGAAUGUUUUGCUUACAAUAUUGCAAUCAGGAACAGAUCACAGAAUAAGAAAAACAUACAUACAUUAAAUGUGUAUAUAUAACUGCACAUAUAUUUUGUAAAGGGCAACAACUCUGUACAUUUUCUACAACAAUUAAGGCCUUGAUUCCAUCACUCAAUAAUUACAUUACAUAGAUGUUUCAGAAGAAUCUGUUAUUUUGAUUAGGUAGCAACGCUUGUGUGUCAUACAUAAAUUCACCUUCAUAUUCCAAUGAAGUUUAACAUUCAUGAUGACACGUGCUAUAUCACAAAUAAGUGCACAGGUUAUUUAAAGAAAUAAUUGAUGAAAAUCGGUUUUUCAUGAUCAAACCCAAAAAAUGUUAUUAUAAGUAUUGAAUGCUUCUUUUAGUAAUUUCAUAGGGUUGUAAAAGCCUUGACUGUGAGCACAUUUUAAAACAAAAUGUACUUUGGUCAAUGCUUUUACACCCCAAUGAAUUUACAAAAUAAAGCAUUCAAUUCUUAAAUAUAAAUAUAAUGUUUUUUGUCAAUUUUUAGAAAUAUUGUCAGAUGACAAUGGCUUGGGUGUUUAAGGACCUUACUGACCCUUAAGGGGUUCACAAAGUUGGUCUAUAUUGUCAUAUAACAAACAUUUCUAGCCAUAUGGGGAUCCAGAAAUAUUGAAAAUUAUUGACUUUAGUUAAGUCAUCUAUAUUUUGCAGGCCACAAUUUUUUCUAUUCUUUACUGCAAAAUUCUCAUUUAUUAUUUCUGUAGUAGUUGAUCUUUAUGCAAUACUUACAACACCUAUGAAAAAGGAUGGAUGGACAAGAGAGUCAUCUUUCCAACAAGUGAUAUAAAUUUGCCCCUUGUUUUGUAAAAUAAUGAUAUGCUGGGUUGAAUUUUUUUAACAUAAUAGCUCAGACAGUAACAGGAAGAUUUGUAAACCAAACUGGACUCAUUCUUUACUUUUAAUUUGAGAACACAAAAAGCUUGGCAGAUAAGCAGCAAAUAAAACCUUUUGGAACCCCACCUGGAAAUCAAACUGAAGAUCUCCAAAACUUGAGGUGACCAUCUAACUAAAAGAUAAAUACAAAAUAAGACUAGAAUAUACAGCAUUAUAAAAGACAAAAAUAUUUUUAUGUUAAUAGUAUUAAUAUGCAUGCUUACAUUCAACCAUCAGCUGCAGUACUGCAUAGAGGAUUUCAUACAGCAACAUCAUCAAUAGUAUAAGGAAAAAUAAUAUAUUAAUUACUAUUCUAAACUUGUUUAACUAACAAAUGCAGAAGAAUGGAGAAGACAUCAUUAAGUUGUAAAACAUGGGUCUGAUCCAUUUGUCAUUUUGAACAAUAAAAUAUGGUUAAACUAACAAAUGCCCUGUGCUAUAAUCUCUCUUUUUAGAAAAUAUCUCAUGUAACUGUCGAGGCAAUAUCAAAACUAGAAUACAAUAAAUGAAACUAGAAUACAAUAUUUGAAAAUCAAAUUCAAUAUUUGAAACUAGAAUACAAUAUAUGAUUGUUCUACAUACUAAGAG
rnacentral:lncRNA from 1 species